rnacentral:rRNA from 1 species
AUUGAACGCUGGCGGCAUGCCUUACACAUGCAAGUCGAACGGCGGCACGGGAGCAAUCCUGGUGGCGAGUGGCGAACGGGUGAGUAAUAUAUCGGAACGUGCCCAGUCGUGGGGGAUAACGUAGCGAAAGCUACGCUAAUACCGCAUACGAUCUAUGGAUGAAAGCGGGGGAUCGCAAGACCUCGCGCGAUUGGAGCGGCCGAUAUCAGAUUAGGUAGUUGGUGAGGUAAAGGCUCACCAAGCCGACGAUCUGUAGCUGGUCUGAGAGGACGACCAGCCACACUGGGACUGAGACACGGCCCAGACUCCUACGGGAGGCAGCAGUGGGGAAUUUUGGACAAUGGGCGCAAGCCUGAUCCAGCAAUGCCGCGUGCAGGAUGAAGGCCUGG